UCUGGUAGUUAUGGCGAGAAGGUCACACCCGUUCCCAUCCCGAACACGGUAGUUAAGCUUCUCUGCGCCAAUGGUAGUUGGGGGC
rnacentral:rRNA from 1 species